rnacentral:rRNA from 1 species
AGAGUUUGAUCCUGGCUCAGAACGAACGCUGGCGGCAGGCCUAACACAUGCAAGUCGAACGGGGACCUUCGGGUCUUACGUGGCGCACGGGUGAGUAACGCGUGGGAAUCUACCCCAAAGUCGGGGAUAACCGCUGGAAACGGCGGCUAAUACCGGAUACGCCCUGAGGGGCAAAGCUUUUGCGCUUUGGGAGGAGCCCGCGUCCGAUUAGCUAGUUGGUGGGGUAAAGGCCUACCAAGGCUGCGAUCGGUAGCUGGUCUGAGAGGAUGAUCAGCCACACUGGGACUGAGACACGGCCCAGACUCCUACGGGAGGCAGCAGUGGGGAAUCUUGGACAAUGGGGGCAACCCUGAUCCAGCCAUGCCGCGUGGGUGAAGAAGGCCUUAGGGUUGUAAAGCCCUUUCGGCGGGGAAGAUGAUGACGGUACCCGCAGAAGAAGCCCCGGCUAACUCCGUGCCAGCAGCCGCGGUAAUACGGAGGGGGCUAGCGUUGUUCGGAAUCACUGGGCGUAAAGGGCGCGUAGGCGGACCACCAAGUCAGGGGUGAAAGCCCUGGGCUCAACCUAGGAAGUGCCCUUGAAACUGAUGGUCUUGAGUCCGGGAGAGGAGAGCGGA